CAGCAGCCACGGUAAUACGAAGGGUGCAAGCGUUACUCGGAAUUACUGGGCGUAAAGCGUGCGUAGGUGGUGGUUUAAGUCCGUUGUGAAAGCCCUGGGCUCAACCUGGGAAUUGCAGUGGACACUGGCUCGCUAGAGUGUGUCAGAGGAUGGUGGAAUUCCCGGUGUAGCGGUGAAAUGCGUAGAGAUCGGGAGGAACAUCAGUGGCGAAGGCGGCCAUCUGGGACAACACUGACGCUGAGGCACGAAAGCGUGGGGAGCAAACAGGAUUAGAUACCCCAGUAGUCCCUGUCUCUUAUAC
rnacentral:rRNA from 1 species